rnacentral:rRNA from 1 species
UACUAGAGUAGCACUCGCAUAUCAAUAAGCGGAGGAAAAGAAACUAACAAGGAUUCCCCUAGUAACGGCGAGUGAAGCGGGAAGAGCUCAAAUUUGAAAUCUUAAAGGGUUUCCCUUUACGAAUUGUAGUUUAAAGAAGUGUUUUUCUGUUGAGGUUUUGGUAAAAGUUCUUUGGAAUAGGACAUCAUAGAGGGUGAGAAUCCCGUAUUUGACCUUUACUUUCAACUUUGUGAUACACUUUCAAAGAGUCGGAUUGUUUGGGAAUGCAGUCCAAAAUGGGUGGUAAAUUUCAUCUAAAGCUAAAUAUUGGCGAGAGACCGAUAGCGAACAAGUACCGUGAGGGAAAGAUGAAAAGAACUUUGAAAAGAGAGUUAAACAGUACGUGAAAUUGUCAAAAGGGAAGCGUUUGACACCAGUGUUGUUUUUCUGAAAAUCAAUUAAAGAACUGUUUAUGCUAAGUUGUUUAGACUUUAUCAGCUAACUGUUUAGUUUUGAGCUUUUCUUUAAUGCACUUUUCAGUUAACAAGUCAACAUCAAUUUCUUUUGCUGUAAAAAAAGCUUGAGGAAGGUGGCUUGAGAUUCGUCUUAAGUGUUUAUAGCCUCUUGCCUAUGCAGUCGGAGAGAUUGAGGUCUGCAGCGUAGAUCCUUCGGGGCUAAAUGCAUUUGUGCUAAGUUAUAGCAUUUUAUAGACAACUUGUUGACUAUGAUUUGUCUUGUAGCUUACUCGCUUAUGUUAUUUUACCUACGCUUAGGAUGUUGAGCGCAUGUCUCUCUCU